UCUGGGAGGCUAAUCAGUUCAGUGAGUAGAUUGCCAAGGGUUUAAACCAUGAAGUUGUUUAAAAAUUGGGAACAGGUGAAUGAUACAAGAGAUGAUGUGCCCUACCUGUCUGGAGCAAGUGAUAAAGUGGUAUUUCACAUACAAGUAGGACAGACAGGACUAUUGAAAGUGAGACUUGUAGUUAAAUGAAAAUACUGGCAAACAAGGAGACUUCACUGGCUCGGUAGAGGCAGGAGGUAAUGCGGUGUCCUGAUUUGGGGUGGCACAAAAGACACAGUUUGGAUGAAAGUUUUUACCUUUUCAGUUCUAUCCAGUUUAAUCCAUCAACACUUGUGUUGGAGUAAUGGUGCCUAAGAAGCUGACGAGCCCCAGGAGUGCCUUAUCUUCGGUGGAGUGCAGUUGAGCUCUCCCGGGACAGCUGCUCCGAAUGCAGGCAGCAGAAGCCGGAGGCGGAGCCGCGCCGGCCGAACAGACCGCUGCGGGCAUCGCCGGAGGGCAGGGUGUCUGCACAGCCCAGCACUUCCCAUCGCCUCCUCUCUCGGCUUGGAAAUUACAGCUCCCUUCUGUAACUAUUUGCUGAAAGCGCCCAGUUUUUGCUGUUGUCCAGACAUGAAAGAGAGCUGUUUGACUUAUACAGAGGGAAGGCCCUGAACCUGAUUUAACCAGAGAAUGACAGUCAGCAAAGCUCAGUGCCUCACAACCCCUGAAACAAUGAUGCGUAGAAGAUUUAAGAAAGCUUCAUGCAGGCAAGACAAUGAGUACCUUGCUUUCUCAUAACAUCUUGGAAAUCUCAAAAGUCCCUCAAAUGACUUUUUGCCUGUUUUGGACAAAUAAGACU